GUUUGAAGUCCUCAGCGAGCACUAGGAGCAUCGAUUGGCGGAGGUACUCAGUCGGAGUGCCAGCGUUCCGUCAUAGUGGCGAAAUCAGCCUCGCCACUGGGCAUUGGAGAAGACUGAUUGCCAGCCUCCUGCCAUGUGACUAUGGACCCUGGGAGACUUUGCCCUGUGUAAGCAUUAUUUGUGCUUACUGGAUUUUGAAACAUUUUUUCUGCCCCUUUGAAUACAUGAGAAGGUGUGCCCCUCCCCCGUUUCCUGUCUAUUGUUCUCCAGCAGGGCGUUGUCCAAGGGAAACUGCCAGACCAGUUGGAACUUGUUGCUAAACUUUAACCCCAUGGCGAUUUGACUGUGUUUGUGGGAUCUGAGCACUGUUCGGAUAUAGUGAGCGCUCAGAUCCAAGGUAUCUGGGGAUAGGUUGAAUGUGGG